UCUGAAGCUGGGCUCUGACGUCCAAGGCGCCAAGGAGGCCCCUUCCAGAGGGACAGGAGGAUGGUGCAGCCAUCAAAUCUGGCCAGCGCCCUCGAACCUGGUGAUGCUGAGACACAGGUCAAGUGGCAGCUCAAGAUGUCAGGUCGGGCUUUGCGGACAGAAUUGGACUCGGCGCAGAAGAGGAGGGCGUCAGCGUUUCGGGGACGGUUGGCAGCAGAGGGUGCUGCCCUGCUCUCCGUGGGUGAGAGGUGACUCGAGGAGACCGCAGGAGCCCCUUGGAGGUGAAGCCACAGGUGGCAUCCCGGAAUCGGCAGGAGGCUGAGACGUAGACCCUUGCGUGCUGCUGUCAGAGGAGAGACCCGAAGACUACUUGAGACUGUUGCUUGAAAGCAGUGUCGGCAGCACCUGGACCUGGACUUGUGACGCUGAUGGAUUUCAGCUCUAAAGAGAAACUCCUGUCUAUUCCCAGACAGAGAGAAAGAGCAGAAGAGCAGACUACCUGCAAAGGACAGACUUAGGUGGGCGCCCCUGUGCCAGAGGGCAGCGGGGAGGCCGGGUGCAUGCUGAGCCCGAGUGUGUGUGUAUGUGUACA
rnacentral:lncRNA from 1 species